rnacentral:rRNA from 1 species
UGCGGAGGGUGCAAGCGUUAUCCGGAUUCACUGGGUUUAAAGGGUGCGUAGGUGGGCAGGUAAGUCAGUGGUGAAAUCUCCGGGCUUAACCCGGAAACUGCCAUUGAUACUAUUUGUCUUGAAUACUGUGGAGGUCAGCGGAAUAUGUCAUGUAGCGGUGAAAUGCUUAGAUAUGACAUAGAACACCAAUUGCGAAGGCAGCUGGCUACACAAAUAUUGACACUGAGGCACGAAAGCGUGGGGAUCAAACAGG